rnacentral:tRNA from 1 species
GCGCGAUUAGCUCAGUGGUAGAGCACUUGCUUCACACGCAAGGGGUUGCUGGUUCGAUACCAGCAUCGCGCACCA